GACAGAGGGUGCAAACGUUGUUCGGAAUUACUGGGCGUAAAGCGCGUGUAGGCGGCUAAGCAAGUCGGGCGUGAAAUCCCACCGCUCAACGGUGGAAGUGCACCCGAAACUGCAUAGCUAGAGUCCUGGAGAGGAAGGUGGAAUGGCUUGGUGUAGAGGUGAAAUUCGCAGAUAUCAGGAGGAACACCAAUGGCGAAGGCAGCUCACUGGGACGGUACUGACGCUGAGACGCGAAAGCGUGGGGAGCAAACAGG
rnacentral:rRNA from 1 species